ACAAACUUGGUCAUUUAGAGGAAGUAAAAGUCGUAACAAGGUUUCCGUAGGUGAACCUGCGGAAGGAUCAUUAGAGAAUUGGAGGGAGACGCCCGUCGCCCUCGUCCGCUCACCCGUGCACCUUCGACGGGGCCCCUGCGCCCCGUCGCCAUCGCGCACCUCCGCACGUCUUUGCAAGUCGAUUUUUUUUAAAAAACGAGAAACAACUUUCGGCAACGGAUCUCUUGGCUCUCGCAUCGAUGAAGAACGCAGC
rnacentral:misc_RNA from 1 species